ACGGAGGAUGCGAGCGUUAUCCGGAUUUAUUGGGUUUAAAGGGAGCGCAGACGGGUCGUUAAGUCAGCUGUGAAAGUUUGGGGCUCAACCUUAAAAUUGCAGUUGAUACUGGCGUCCUUGAGUGCGGUUGAGGUGUGCGGAAUUCGUGGUGUAGCGGUGAAAUGCUUAGAUAUCACGAAGAACUCCGAUUGCGAAGGCAGCACACUAAGCCGUAACUGACGUUCAUGCUCGAAAGUGUGGGUAUCAAACAG
rnacentral:rRNA from 2 species